UGGGGAAUAUUGCACAAUGGGCGCAAGCCUGAUGCAGCCAUGCCGCGUGUAUGAAGAAAGCCUUCGGGUUGUAAAGUACUUUCAGCGGGGAGGAAGGGAGUAAAGUUAAUACCUUUGCUCAUUGACGUUACCCGCAGAAGAAGCACCGGCUAACUCCGUGCCAGCAGCCGCGGUAAUACGGAGGGUGCAAGCGUUAGUCGGAAUUACUGGGCGUAAAGCGCACGCAGGCGGUUUGUUAAGUCAGAUGUGAAAUCCCCGGGCUCAACCUGGGAACUGCAUCUGAUACUGGCAAGCUUGAGUCUCGUAGAGGGGGGUAGAAUUCCAGGUGUAGCGGUGAAAUGCGUAGAGAUCUGGAGGAAUACCGGUGGCGAAGGCGGCCCCCUGGACGAAGACUGACGCUCAGGUGCGAAAGCGUGGGGAGCAAACAGG
rnacentral:rRNA from 1 species